AAAAGGUAUUGAAGACCCUUGAUAUGAUAUUGCUGUUUUUGUUUUAGAUUCCAAAGUUAACCCUUUAAUUUAUCCCUUUUCCCCAAGUAGAACGCUGCAUUUACUUUACAUUUUGCUUUGGAGUCGGAAGUUCCAAAAUCACCAGGAGAGCUCCUCAGGCAUCUCCUGCCUGUAAUUCCUGGGAAAUGCCACCUGCCACCCAUCCUUGGAAGCGUCGCCCAUUCUCAGGAUCUCAUGCGUCACCAUUCAUCACAGUCACAGCGCUUGCAGACAUCUGGAUAAAAGGAAAAGCCCAUUUUUUUAAAACUUACACGUUAAAUUUUCCUCUAAUUACCAUUUUAUUAUUUUAAAUUUCAUUAUGUUUAAUUACAUUUAGUAUGGAUUAAGGCACAGCCAGCCUGGAUUAAGGCAUCACCAGCCUGGCAUCAGACUCUCCGGACAAUGCCAGCCCAGAGGGGGCUGACCUGGAGGACAUUCCCCCGGAGGACAUGGAGUGGGAGCCUCCAGGUCUUGACCUGAGUCCCACUCCGUGGUGUCAGCCCCGUGGCCAAAGUUUCCCCAGCCGAGGAGGCUAUCGCCGCGACAACGGCAGGGUCAACAGAAAUCCAGUCGUGGGCUCAGCUCCGGGAGGAAAAAACGAGGGUCCCUGGUUUGGUCCAGUUCCUGUCCUGCCUGCCCCUCGACACCCUCCGACUCUGCCAACCCCUCGCCGUCUACCGAUGCUGUUCUUCCCUCGGCUGCCGCAGACGAGUAGAGCUUCUACAGACCCAGACAGGAUUCCAAAGGCCCCCCUGGCCGUGACCCUUCUGCGGCACCCCGGAGCCCAUCAGAGGCCCUGAACUGUUCACUUUACCUCCCAUGCUACCUAGUGUCUUGCCCCUCCUAAUACCUCAGUCUUUGGUCUGUAGUCUUGCUUCCCCGUGGCUCUCCCUGGUUUCACCUCUUAGCCUGAUUUCACUGUUCCAGCCCCCACUCCAGUCACUCUUGCUUCCCGCUUUAGGUUCCCCUCUCCUGGCCAUAUUAUUGUUGCACUGGUUCCGUUGCUUGCCUGUCUUGUCUGGUUGUGUCCUGCCUUGU